AACAGGACGUCAUAGAGGGUGAGAGCCCCGUACCUGGCCGUCGGUGCCCCCCGCUGUGAAACUCCUUCGACGAGUCGAGUUGUUUGGGAAUGCAGCUCUAAAUUGGUGGUAAAUUCCAUCUAAAGCUAAAUACCGGCCAGAGACCGAUAGCGCACAAGUAGAGUGAUCGAAAGAUGAAAAGCACUUUGAAAAGAGAGUUAAAAAGUACGUGAAAUUGUUGAAAGGGAAGCGCUUGCGGCCAGACUUGCCCGCGGUUGCUCAGCCCGCCUUUUGGCGGGUGCACUCUUCCGCGGUCAGGCCAGCAUCGGUUUGGGCGGUCGGAUAAAGGCGUAGGGAACGUGACCUCCCCUCGGGGAGGUGUUAUAGCCCUGCGCGCAAUGCGACCAGCCCGGACCGAGGUUCGCGCUUUGCUAGGAUGCUGGCGUAAUGGCCGUAAGCGGCCCGUCUUGAAACACGGACCAAGGAGUCUAACAUCUAUGCGAGUGUUUGGGUGUCAAACCCGUGCGCGUAAUGAAAGUGAACGGAGGUGGGAACCGAAAGGUGCACCAUCGACCGAUCCUGAUGUCUUCGGAAGGAUUUGAGUAAGAGCAUAGCUGUUGGGACCCGAAAGAUGGUGAACUAUGCGUGAAUAGGGUGAAGCCAGAGGAAACUCUGGUGGAGGCUCGCAGCGGUUCUGACGUGCAAAUCGAUCGUCAAAUUUGCGUAUAGGGGCGAAAGACUAAUCGAACCAUUUGCAUACAGCAAGACUAGAUGGUCAAAGGGCGGAGAGCCUUAGUCCCCACGGGGGCCACACUGC
rnacentral:rRNA from 1 species